rnacentral:rRNA from 1 species
UACGUAGGGUGCGAGCGUUGUCCGGAAUUAUUGGGCGUAAAGAGCUUGUAGGCGGUUUGUCGCGUCUGCUGUGAAAAUCCGGGGCUCAACCCCGGACUUGCAGUGGGUACGGGCAGACUGGAGUGUGGUAGAGGCAGAUGGAAUUCCGGGUGUAGCGGUGGAAUGCGUAGAGAUCCGGAAGAACACCGGUGGCGAAGGCGGUCUGCUGGGCCAAGACUGACGCUGAGGCGCGACAGCGUGGGGAGCAAACAGG